UAGACGGUGCAGAACGGCGGAAGCGUGA
rnacentral:sRNA from 1 species